rnacentral:lncRNA from 1 species
GUUUUAAGGCCGCACCUGCAGCAUGUGUAAGUUUCCCAGGCUAGGGGUUGAAUCGGAGCUACAACUGCUGGUCUACAUCACAGCUCACAGCAACACUGGAUCCUUAACCACUGAGUGAGGCCAGGGAUGGAACCCAUAUCCUCAUGGAUUCUAGUCCAGUUUGUUACCUCUAAGCCACAACGGGAAAUCCCUAGUUAGAAUUUUAAGAGCAGAAAAUGCCCAGUGUUCCCUGAGUCGGUGUGGUGAGCAGCUGGAAUUCUAAUGCACGGCUAAGGAAAAGGUAAAGCAGGAGAUAACCACCUAGGAGAAUCAUAUGGUUGUUUCUAUUCAACUAAGUAUGUAUUCACCCUUUGAUUCAGUAACUUCAUUUCUAGGUAUAUACCUCAAAUGCAUACACACUUUACCAAAAGAUGUGUACAACAAUGUUCCUGAAUGCAUAUUCCUAACAGUCCAGUAGUGGAAACUUUCCAUGUGUCUAUUAACAGUGCAAAGGUAACAUUGUGCCACAGUCUCGCAUUGGAACCCAACAAGACUGAAGAAAUUACUGCUAUAUGGAGCCAGGCAAAUGGAUCUCACAAACGUGAUGCAAACAAAACAAUGCAAACUGCUUGAUUCCAUUUCCCAUAAAGAUCAAAAACAGGCAUAACCAGCCUAUGGUGUUAGAGUCAGGAGAGCAAAAAGUUUUAGAAAGAAGGGAAAGUGGUCACUGGUGGCGUGGGGUGGGGGGGAGGGAGUCUUCUGGGGUCCUAGGAACAGUCCACUUAUUUUUUUAAUUUUUAAAAAUUUUUUAGUAUAAAAAAGAGACUGUGGAGUUCUCGGUGUGGCUCAGCAGGUUAAGAACCCAACAUUGUGUCCAUGAGGAUGCAGGUUCCAGCAAGGAUGCAGACCCCACUCAGUGGGUUAAGGAUCCAGCAUUGCUGUGAUCUGUGGUAUAGGUCAAGACUCGGAUCCCACGUUGCUGUGGCUGUAAUGUAGGCAGGCAGCUGCAGCUCUGAUUUGACCCCUAGCCUGGGAAACUGCAUAUGCUACAGGUGCAGCCAUAAAAAGGAAAAAAGAAAGAAAGAAAAGAAAAAGAGAAUGUAUGUAAAGCACUAAAUAGAGUAAUUCAUGUGUGUGUUAGGUUCUUAAUAAAUAUUAGCUAUAACAAAUAAAACGGUCAAAGCUGGACAAUAUGUAUGUGUCAUAUUUUGGAUCAUCUGUUGAUUCCCUUAUCGAUACCCUGCAGCCAAGGUUGAGGCAGAGACUGUGUGUAGUGGGAGGGACCCAGCGGCUGCUAGAGCCAGCAUCCUGGGGGAAAGUACCAGUCCCGGAGUCACUCUAAAGCUGCUGUCACCUUUCUGUCACCUCCUCUUUGUAAGUGGAGAGGAAAUCAUGCCUUAGAUAGCUCUGUAACAUUUAGUCUCUGGGACACACAUAUCCUGACAAAUAGACUUUUUCCUCUUCUCCAAUUCCCAUCAAUUAACAUUUACCACCCUGUGUAUAACUGAGACCCAUUUAACUAUCAAUGUUAAAAGGAACCUCCUUUACUUUUUAGCAAGAGGAGGCCUCCUCUCUGGAUAGAGCCACAGCUAGGCUGCCUCUGACUCGGUACACAUCUACACCCCGCUGUGCACAAACUUGUCUCUCAUAUCUUGACCUCCUGAUUUUAGAACUUCUUGGGUCACAACUUUUGCAUGAUUUAACCUUUAGGAUGGUCACUGGUUCUCUGCAGACCUCAGGGGAGAUCUCUCCUGUGCCAGAGUCCUCCCUCUCAGCUGAGCCACCACCUGCCGUCGGCUGCAUCGAUGCCCAGUCCAUUCCUGCCUCUUCUUGGAUGACGAGCACACGUCUGCCUCCCUGGACACACUCCCCACUUUCUGGUGUGGGAAGAGUUUUCAGCCCGGCUGGCACAGCUGCUUUGCUUCGCCAAGCACAGCCGGUGCUCGAAAGCCCCUGAACCACGGGUCUAAGAGGUCCACCCCUCAGCUCCGCCCCCAAAAUGGGAGUCUCCACCAUGCUCUCCAUUCAGUGCUCUCCCACUGAAUGUGUACACAAAGCAGAAAGGCUCUGCCUUGUCCAGAGCUGUGUCCACUCUGUGGAUUAGCAGGGCAAUCAAGCCACCCUUAUUUGAGUGAACACUCUGGGGUUGGGACAGCAGAUGUCCUAGACACAGGACCGCUGCACUGCCUUUUCACGGGUGCCACAGGGGAAAAUAAAUAGGUGUAACAAGGUGGUCACGCAGGGCCAGGACAAGAAGGACAAAGGAGGCAAAACCAGGGGCCUGGUUCCUAAGGCCAUAAGCAGAAGAGCAACAACAACGUUGCCAUUGUGUCUAAUUUAUACACCACUUUCCACUAGUUAGAACUUGGUCAGGUGGCCGUCCCUGGUUGCAAAGGAAGCUGGAAAACAGAGUCAAAGCUGGGUGGCCACGAGCUCUGGGAGACAGUCAGAACACAAGGAACAUCCCAGCAAAACCCCAAGACUUGUCCCCAAGAGCCUCAUUAGGGCAGUAGCCCAAUGGGCUUCACAUCAAGCUGUCCAGGACGAGAUACCUUAAUUCUGCAGCUCCUGGGAACUAAUUUUGCUUUAAUCACAUCUUUCCAUUCUCCAGGGCAGGAGCUCACAGCCUUGAUGGAUACAAUGCCCUCCACCUCUUUGUGCCCACCUUCCAACAAUAUAUGUCUGUCCAGAGAUAACCAAGAGAAAGCUCCCGGCUCUAGUCUGAGCAUGCAACAUACACAGUGCAAUGCUGGAGCUUUAAGUCCUGGCUGAGAUCUCACAGAGAACGGUGAUAACUCUAUGACAGUUUCAUGAUAGUUAGGGACCCAGGGGACUCAUGUAUGUCCCAAGCACAUAAUCUCUGCUUUAACACCCCAAGCACAGCUGGAUUUAUUCCUACCCACACCCACUAGGAGCCCUGCCCCCCCAAAUAUACUAGAGCAUUAGGAGGGACACGUUCGUACACCCAAUCGCAGGGAAGUGUCACACUGGCCCAUCUGAAGCUGAGAUGCUACUGCAAAUACAGCAAAACUGUCCAGAGCUCCAGCUGGGCAUCAGUGACCUGAUCAGGUAAUGGGGGUUCAGGUAAUGGGGGGGGCUGGCAGAAGCCACAAAGGCCACCCACUACAAGGCAAGAGCUGGCCCAAGCCAGCUACACUGAUGCCAGUCUAAGGUCUAGAAUUUGGAUAGAAUGUAGCAGACUGGGAUCUGAUUUUCUGAAAAGGUCAUGAAGGAGAUGAACUCUUCCAAGUGGCCACAGAACUACUGGUAAAACUUAAUCACAAAAGGUGGGGAACCUUGAAGGAAAGGGAUUAUAACUAGUUUAUUGAAGGGGCCAAACUUGAUCCAAUUACAUUUAGGAAGCAGAUUUAUUUCUCUCCAAGUACUGCCUAUAAACAGACUCUGUGGGCUCCCCCACCCUUUGACAACAUCUGGGGCAGAGCCCAAAGCUUUGGGAUCCUUUUCAGCUUUAAGGACAGUCUCAUUCUCAGCUCUUAAAUGUUCAGCCCCAGCAUGACUUAUAACCUCAGCAUGUCCACUCCAACUUGAUCAGGCCAUCCAUGGCCCCUUAACAUCAGGAUCAACAGUGCACCACUGGGCUCACUGCUGUGACCACCACGCUCCACGCUCCCAUCUGGCAGACCAAGCGCCCCCUCCUAAAUUAAGCACCCACUGUCCUCUAGCACCCUGGGUUUCUUACUUCAUCUGUGGAAGAGAGCUUAGAAAAUAGUGGUUCCCAUGCACUCUCCUGUCACACAUCACCAACUCCCCCAGCACCCCCACGGUGCCUGAGCAGGAAUGGUGGGCACCGCUUUAAGCCUCUCUUCCUGACAGAUUCUGAUUCAGUCCCUAAGAGGCAGAGCCCAGGAAUCUGAAUUUCUAAUAAGCCCCUAAGUGAUUCUGAUAUGAGCAGCCUACAGAACAGGUUCUGAGAAGCAAGGCUUCAGGUAACGAGCUAGUAACUUCAGGGCCACACCCCCGCUGUCCUUGAUUCCUGUCCGAAAUGGAAGCCUUCGGUUAUUUACAUUUUCAUCAUUCAGAUACUCUUCGGGACAUCUUCCUUGAUCACACCACCCAUGUCCCACCUCCCAAGCCUCUGGAACGGCUGGGAAAGUAUUAACUCCUUUUGUCCUUUGAACUUUGCUCCACGCUUCCCGGCUUUACUGGAGCCACGCUGCCCAGUGCAUACUCUCGCCACGCUGCCCAGUGCAUACUCUCAGGUAGCUCUACUGCUCAUUCUCACGCCUGGCAGGUGCGAAAUGAGGUUGGCAUCUUCCUUCCUCCCAGAACCAUGUCCACACCAUUGUUCUAUGCCUCCAACAGCUCUGGCUCCCUGGGACUCAGGUGAUUAGGCUCCACAGUAUACUCUCUCCCAGCAGGCUCUGAGUCUGCCCUCCCUGCCACCAUCCUGUAGCAGCCUUCUUCAGGGUGGGGGCACCCAGCUCCAAGUGCCUCAUCCAAGCCAAGAGCAGGGCACCUCUCAUCCUCAGAACCCCCUACAUUCUCUUUAUCCAUCAGCCCCUUCACUCCCCCAGUACCCUGCUUAGGUCCAGUCUCCACUCCUCUAUUCAUAAUGUGCCAAACUCGCUCCACCAGUCUCUCACACACCCACACCCAAAACCCCAAUCCCAGGGGAUCCAAGUAGCCUUCUCACUUGCAUUUGCUCCCCAAGUGCUUAAUAUUGAUAAAGGUGGAUCUUGUCAAUAGUGUAGAUUGGUCCUGACCUCACCCAGGCUCGUACCCCCAGCAGCAAUGCCACACUGCUGCUCUGUCCUCCAUCAUAAGAAUCCAAAUCCUCUUCCUUCUCACUAAAUGUCCCAUCUUUCCACACCCCCUUCUCCUUUAGUAGCAGACCUCCUACUUCUCCAGAAAAGCAAAGCACUAAGUGCCCCCCC